rnacentral:rRNA from 1 species
ANCAGCUCAAAUUUGAAAUCUGGCCCCGUCGGGGCCCGAGUUGUAAUUUGCAGAGGAUGCUUCGGGCAUGGAUUCGGUCUGAGUUCCUUGGAACAGGACGCCGCAGAGGGUGAGAGCCCCGUAUGUGACCGGCCUCCGUGCCUGUGCGAAGCUCCUUCGACGAGUCGAGUUGUUUGGGAAUGCAGCUCCAAGAGGGUGGUAAAUUUCAUCUAAAGCUAAAUAUUGGCCAGAGACCGAUAGCGCACAAGUAGAGUGAUCGAAAGAUGAAAAGCACUUUGGAAAGAGAGUCAAACAGUACGUGAAAUUGUUGAAAGGGAAGCGCUUGCGACCAGACUUGCCUGCGGGCGAUCAGCCGGCAUUCGUUGCCGGUGCACUCGCCCGCAGUCAGGCCAGCAUCGGUUCGGGCGGCUGAACAAAGUCCCCCGGAAUGUGACUCCCCUCGGGGAGUGUUAUAGCCGGAGGUGCCAUGCAGCCCGCCUGGACCGAGGACCGCGCUUCGGCUAGGAUGCUGGCGUAAUGGUCGCAAGCGACCCGUCUUGAAACACGGACCAAGGAGUCUAACAUCCAUGCGAGUGUUUGGGUGUCAAACCCAUGCGCGGAAUGAAAGUGAACGGAGGUGGGAACCCGUCCGGGUGCACCAUCGACCGAUCCUGAUGUCUUCGGAUGGAUUUGAGUAAGAGCAUGGCUGUUGGGACCCGAAAGAUGGUGAACUAUGCCUGAAUAGGGUGAAGCCAGAGGAAACUCUGGUGGAGGCUCGCAGCGGUUCUGACGUGCAAAUCGAUCGUCAAAUUUGGGUAUAGGGGCGAAAGACUAAUCGAACCAUCUAGUAGCUGGUUCCUGCCGAAGUUNCCCUCANGAUAGCAGUAACGUUUUCAGUUUUAUGAGGUAAAGCGAAUGAUUAGUGGCCUUGGGGAUUUAGAAUCCUUAACCAAUUCUCAAACUUUAAAUAUGUAAGAAGUCCUUGUUGCUUUGUUGAACGUGGACAUUUGAAUGCACCGUUACUAGUGGGCCAUUUUUGGUAAGCAGAACUGGCGAUGCGGGAUGAACCGAACGCGAGGUUAAGGUGCCGGAAUGCACGCUCAUCAGACACCACAAAAGGUGUUGUUUCAUCCAGACAGCCGGACGGUGGCCAUGGAAGUCGGAACCCGCUAAGGAGUGUGUAACAACCCACCGGCCGAAUGAAACAGCCCUGAAAAUGGAUGGCGCUCAAGCGUGCUACCCAUACCUCGCCGCCA